CCUGAACGCUGGCGGCGUGGCUAAGACAUGCAAGUCGCACGGUGUAGCAAUACACAGUGGCGAACGGGUGAGUAAUGAAUCGCUAAUGUACCCUGGACUCUGGGAUAGCCGGCCGAAAGGCCGGGUAAUACCAGAUGAGACCACAAGCAGGCAUCUGCUGGUGCUCAAAGGUCCGCCGGUCUGGGAGCAGGCGAUUUCGUAUCAGCUAGUUGGUGAGGUAACGGCUCACCAAGGCGACGACGCGUAGCCGGACUGAGAGGUUGGCCGGCCACAUCGGGACUGAGACACUGCCCGGACUCCGUAC
rnacentral:rRNA from 1 species